rnacentral:rRNA from 1 species
AGCAGCCGCGGUAAUUCCAGCUCCAAUAGCGUAUAUUAAAGUUGUUGCAGUUAAAAAGCUCGUAGUUGAAUUUCGGAAUUUGUCGGUUGGUCGGGCUUCACUGUCCGCACUGGCCUGAUGGAUUCCUACCUUCUGAACAACCAGCAUGCUAUUAAGUUAGUGCGUUGGGGAAGCAGAGCUAAUUACCUUGAAAAAAUUAGAGUGCUUAAAGCAGGCUUGUGCUUGAAUAGAUUAGCAUGGAAUAAUAAAGUAGGACGGUCAUGGUUCUAUUUUGUUGGUUUCUAGGAUCACCGUAAUGAUUAAUAGGGAUCGUUGGGGGCAUUAGUAUUCAAUUGUCAGAGGUGAAAUUCUUGGAUUUAUUGAAGACUAACUUCUGCGAAAGCAUUUUGCCAAGGAUGUUUUCAUUAAUCAAGAACGAAAGUUAGGGGAUCGAAGACGAUCAGAUACCGUCGUAGUCUUAACCAUAAACGUAUGCCGACUAGGGAUCGGUACGAUGUUAAUUUUUAAUGUACUCGUUCGG